ACGCCCAGGUUCACCAUGGCGAGGCCGCCGGGCUCGGCCCCGGGCAGGACCCGCCCCUUCCGCCGCGGCCACGGCGGAACGGGCCGGACCGUUUCGUGUGCUCCGAACCGGGACAGGCCAGCUCCUCUGCUACUGCGGACCCGACGGCACCGUCUAGUGAGAGCGGGGCGGGAGAAGGAGCAGUGUGACCGACGCGAUGAAGGUCUGGGCCAGGGAGCUCGGUGGCUGGUCGGCGCUCGGCUUUCGGUGCCCGCCGGAGGAGCUCGGCGCGAUGCUCAGCAAGAAGGCGCCAUCUGGAGUGAAUUUUGAGGACUCCUGAUGGGUGCUGUCCUGUGCCUUGAUGACAGCCCUAUGGACCCCUGUGUCUGAACAAGGAAGUGUCCCUAUUGUUCCGGACCUGCUGAGCUCCUUGACAACAGAGGCAGCAGUACCUGGCAGCCACCCCUUAGCUUUCCCCUUUGCGGGGAACAGUUGGAGCAGAGGGGACACCAGCAUGGUGGGGUUUUCCCCUGCAGCUCUUCCCUGCUGGUAGGGACUAGCUCCUGACUUCACUUACCAUGAACUGGUGGAGUUUGGAUGGAGCUUUGAUGCCGUGGAAUGGAAAGAUUACCUGUGCUUUGCGUCUUGCCUGUAAAGAUGUUUUUAGCCAGCU